CACUACCACGAGGGCCUGCCCACCACCCAGGGCACCCGCUACAUCAUGGUGUCCUUCGUCGACCCCUAGCACUCCGCUCUGUGCCUGUGCGAGUGUGUGAGUGUGUGUUCUAUACAUGGCGGCUGUUACAGUUCUGCCCCCUGCUGGACACCUCUGUCCCGACCUCCUAAUUUAUUUCACCUUCAUGCGCCUGGCCCAGAAACGUCCAGCUCCCAGAAUGCAUUGCGCAGCAGUACUAGGCAGCGGGACCGGGCCGUUUUGGAACGCUGUGGGAAGAGACGAAGGUGAUGGAGACUGUGUGGACGUUUUAUACCGCUCCUUUUCUAUUUUUUAACAAAAUGUUUAUUUUAUACUGCGCUACCGAUCGAAAAGGUCCAAGACGAAGACGAGAUGGUGACUGUGUCCUGCUGACCUUGCCUUUGUACAGAGUGCUUUAAAUUAUUUUUCACUGUGGAAAUAAACGUUGCGUCUCCUCCUGCUUGUCCUGCGUGGUCUCGUCCAGCAGUGUGUGUGUUGUCCUCCGGGUUUAUUGUUGCUCCGCCUGUUGUCCUGAGAAACAACCCCUGGACCCGCAGCCAUAAAGCGGGUCAAUUAUUAAUGUCCCGGCGGCCACAGCGCGGUGGAGCAGCACGGCAGGACGUACGCUGACGUUGCAUCAUGGAGGAUAACGGGCUCCAUCCACAUAAGGAGGUCCUCAUCAUUCCGAUGACUGAAAGCCCCAGCCCGUCCCCCAAACAGAGCACAUCGCCGGUGCCAGCGGACUCAGCGAAACCGGCCCCCACGGUCUCUUCACAGCUGUUUGCUGAACUUCUGGAAAGCCACGCCCGCCGAAGGCCCGCCUCCCCAGAGCAGAUGACCCUGCAGACCCCUUCUGCCCCAACCCCAACUCCUCCCACCUCACCUACCACGCCCACACCCUCCCCAACCCAGGCCACGCCCAGCGCCCCGCCCAGCGCCCCGCGGGGCUCCACAGGCGGCCUGGGCCUCGGGAGUCCAGAGCUUCUGAGCGAGCUGAAGAAGCCGCACACGCUGAAGACCCGCCCCGCCCACAAGGCCAUGACCAUCAUCUUCUCUGGGAAGGGCCGGGUGCCCUCCAGCGAGGGACAAGGCGUGGCCGGUGGACCGCAGGACUAAGUCGUAACGAUGUUGAUAUGGUGCUGACGCAGUGUAAUGUAAUGAGGCCGUUUCAUCGACUUGUCACAAACCAUCCCAAUAAAUUCUUGAAAGAUUUCGGAUGAUUCUCUGUG
rnacentral:lncRNA from 1 species